UCUGUGAUGGUCCAGUGGUUAAGACUCUGCACUUCCAUUGCAGGGGGUACAGGUUUAACCCCUAGUCAGGGAA
rnacentral:tRNA from 1 species